rnacentral:rRNA from 1 species
AAAGCGUGCGCAGGCGGUUUUGUAAGACUGUCGUGAAAUCCCCGGGCUCAACCUGGGAAUGGCGAUGGUGACUGCAAGGCUAGAGUUUGGCAGAGGGGGGUAGAAUUCCACGUGUAGUAGUGAAAUGCGUAGAUAUGUGGAGGAACACCGAUGGCGAAGGCAGCCCCCUGGGUCAAAACUGACGCUCAUGCACGAAAGCGUGGGGAGCAAACAGGAUUAGAUACCCUGGU